GACAGAGGUGCCGAGCGUUUAGGCGGAAUCACUGGGCUUAAAGCGUGUGUAGGCGGCCCGUUAAGUGUCUUGUGAAAUCCCCCGGCUCAACCGGGGAACGGCUGGGCAUACUGGCGGGCUUGGGUCGCUCAGGGGCAGACGGAACAGGCGGUGGAGCGGUGAAAUGCGUAGAUAUCGCCUGGAACGCCGAAGGUGAAAACAGUCUGCUGGGGGGCGCACCGACGCUGAAGACG
rnacentral:rRNA from 1 species